GCACUAAUCCCAUCUGCCCGCUACGCUUUCCUUCCUCUUGCUCCGCGCCUCCGCCGACGAGCUCCGGUGAGGAGCGGCGGCGACCGGCAGCCGGCAGCCGAGACAGACAGCAGUGAAGGAUUGCCAUCAACACGAACCAACUGGACAUCGAAAUGCUCUUGCGCGGCGAAGCCGGAGACCAGCCGUCGGCCAAGGUCUUCCGCCGCUUCGUCCAUGACGCCAUCGAGAGACCGGACGAGUUCAUAUUGCAUCCUGCCGCUCCGCUGCCACCGUCCGUGGAGAUUGUCCGCGUCAUGGAUGUGAUAUCCAAUUUUGUACCCCACUUCCUCUUGAAAUUUGCAGCAUCUGAGUAGGUAUGGAGGGAGUGAUGCGUUUUUUGCGAUUGAUGAUUUGGUCAGGUUUACUCACUGAUUCAGCAGAGCUGUAGAGGAACACGCAAUCAGAUAUGCAAGGCUGUGUUUAGUUCAGCGCAAAGUUUAGAUUUUGGUUAAAAUUAAAAAUGAUGUGACUGAAAAGUUGUGUGUGUAUGACAUGUUGAUGUGAUGGAAAAGGACUGAAGUUUGGAUCCAAACUUUGGAUCUAAACACAGCCUAAAAUGCAUGGUGCAAUGAAUCUGCCAUGGUGGUAAGCUGUGAAACCUGGA